AUUGAACGCUGGCGGAAUGCUUUACACAUGCAAGUCGAACGGCAGCACGGGGGCAACCCUGGUGGCGAGUGGCGAACGGGUGAGUAAUAUAUCGGAACGUGCCCAGUCGUGGGGGAUAACGUAGCGAAAGUUACGCUAAUACCGCAUACGAUCUACGGAUGAAAGCGGGGGAUCGCAAGACCUCGCGCGAUUGGAGCGGCCGAUAUCAGAUUAGGUAGUUGGUGGGGUAAAGGCUCACCAAGCCAACGAUCUGUAGCUGGUCUGAGAGGACGACCAGCCACACUGGGACUGAGACACGGCCCAGACUCCUACGGGAGGCAGCAGUGGGGAAUUUUGGACAAUGGGCGCAAGCCUGAUCCAGCCAUUCCGCGUGCAGGACGAAGGCCUUCGGGUUGUAAACUGCUUUUGUACGGAACGAAAAAGCCUUGGCUAAUACCCAGGGUCCAUGACGGUACCGUAAGAAUAAGCACCGGCUAACUACGUGCCAGCAGCCGCGGUAAUACGUAGGGUGCAAGCGUUAAUCGGAAUUACUGGGCGUAAAGCGUGCGCAGGCGGUUAUAUAAGACAGAUGUGAAAUCCCCGGGCUCAACCUGGGAACUGCAUUUGUGACUGUAUAGCUAGAGUGCGGCAGAGGGGGAUGGAAUUCCGCGUGUAGCAGUGAAAUGCGUAGAUAUGCGGAGGAACACCGAUGGCGGAAGGCA
rnacentral:rRNA from 1 species